UGACAUCCACGGAAGUUUUCAGAGAUGAGAAUGUGCCUUCGGGAACCGUGAGACAGGUGCUGCAUGGCUGUCGUCAGCUCGUGUUGUGAAAUGUUGGGUUAAGUCCCGCAACGAGCGCAACCCUUAUCCUUUGUUGCCAGCGGUCCGGCCGGGAACUCAAAGGAGACUGCCAGUGAUAAACUGGAGGAAGGUGGGGAUGACGUCAAGUCAUCAUGGCCCUUACGACCAGGGCUACACACGUGCUACAAUGGCGCAUACAAAGAGAAGCGACCUCGCGAGAGCAAGCGGACCUCAUAAAGUGCGUCGUAGUCCGGAUUGGAGUCUGCAACUCGACUCCAUGAAGUCGGAAUCGCUAGUAAUCGUGGAUCAGAAUGCCACGGUGAAUACGUUCCCGGGCCUUGUACACACCGCCCGUCACACCAUGGGAGUGGGUUGCAAAAGAAGUAGGUAGCUUAACCUUCGGGAGGGCGCUUACCACUUUGUGAUUCAUGACUGGGGUG
rnacentral:rRNA from 1 species